GUUCUGCGCGACCUUGCAAGCAAAGCAAACCCCUCCGGCAGAAGUUUCCAAAAUUCCUCUCGGUUAACUCAUUGCGAGCAGAAACCAUUUGUCACGCAGACUAGAGAGGCGUUUUCCGUGCAGCGGCUCUGGACGUGGGGCCGCGCGCUUCUGGGCCACCCCGUCGAGCCGAGCAGUGGUACGGGCAGGCGGGGGGGCCGUGCUGUGGGCACGCGGGUGGCCGCGGCCGGGGAGAUGCACUUCUCCGUUUGUGAAACUGCUGAGCUGGCAAUAACUUGUCCCGUGCUUUGUCCCGCUCCGCGCAGGGAAUGGCUCGCCGCAGCUCGGCGCGCUGCACCGCGCAGCUCCUGGUUGUGCCAGCUGCGUGGCACCGGGGGGAACGCGCCCAUUCACCAACAAGUGGGUUAAAGCCCAAAAUACUGUAGGUUCGUGGAAUGCAUGAGGCUCUACCUAUUGCCAGCGGCACGUAGCCCUGUUAGGCUGCUAGGCUUUCCUUCCAUCUUCACCGCCGAGGUACCCGAGAACAUUCACGUUAUGCUGUUUUCUUCCUCCUUCCUCAGAGAAGGGUUUGCUCAUGCAUGAGGUGUUUCGUUUUGGCACUUUGCAUGAUUUCCUUCGAUGUACGCAUUUAUGUACAUUUAUGUAGAAAUAAGUGUCUACAAAUACCGUGUGCUCACAGAGUUCCUGGUGCUGAGACUUACUUGCUUAGCUCUGUGCCCUAACCCUGUUUCCUGCCCAAAUGAGCACUGUGCUCCUGGCUGCAUCUUGGAUGUGAGGAACAGAGCUGUCAUCCAGAAGUGCCUCGCUCACAUCAACAGGAAGGGGGGCCAAGACCUGAGGUUUUACACAGCAGUCUCUGCAGAAAGCAGAGACAGAUGUCUGAUAGGGACUGAUAUAUAUUUCAAGACGGGAUAUCCUCACCUUGAUUAUGCAGUUAGGGAGUAAAACUCUUCUGCUGGACCGAGUCCUCGUUUCUGUGAUGAUGUCCUGUACUGCUCCAACUCAGAGGUUAUUUGCUGGGCCUCCUGCCUGGGGCAAGUUGCUGAUUUUUGGCAGUAAUGGAGCCCUGUCAGGUGUGCUGGAAGUAUUUGGUAUGCAUCAGGUCUGUCAAUUCCUAAUUACAGCCAAAAAGAAGGAGGUACAGCUCUAUUAACAGGGAGAGGAAUAAAACACAGCUCGGUAGUGACUGAAAAUUUGUCUCUUACAAGUUACUGCAAGUAGUUGGAAAUACUGUGCACAAUACACCAAGCAUGGUGAGACUCACAGCUCACAUGUACUGAAGAAUAUAGAGAACCAUACAAAGCAAACAAAGCAGCUAGCUUAUAAAACAGGUGACUUGCUAUGGAAAGCACUCUGAGGAUGGAAAUGUGCAGUGGUCACUAAUGAAAACUUUAUAUUUGCUCCCAGGUUUUAUGCAGAGAUACUCACAGAGCCUUAGUUGCUUUUCAGAGAGUUAUUAAGUUAUUAAGACAGAGGCCUUAACUGCAUUUAUAGUUGCAUCCUGUAAGAAUUUUGCUUUAUAACAUUCACCCUACCAAAGAUCAUUGUUCUGACUUGAGAUUGAGAAAGACAGUUCCUCCAUCAAGAGGUAAGGAAUGUUACGGUGUUGGCUCUGAACGUAGAUGGAUCUAAUUCAGCUGUUUUGGAAAUGUAUGAUUCCCUAAAUAUGUUUAACCUUCUGUCUGACAUGUUGCCCUUACUGAGUGGAAAGUUUAUCAUUUCCAUAUUUUUUUAUAAAUAGAAUGAACAUGUUAAUAGUUGCUAGAUAUACAGCAUAAAAGCUCAAUCAUUCUGUUUCUUUUAGCCAUCCUCCUUGAACCAAUAGGCUCCUGUAGCCCUUUGUCCAUUGCUUCUAAAGAAAUAAGUUCUAAUUUUUAAUUUCACUUUCCACUGCAGGUUGUUGAGUAAGACCCAGUCUCCCUGCAGGAAGCUGUUAUUAAUUCUAAUUUGGUGAAGUCUUCAGUUUCAACAGUAAUUAUUAUAAUUAUCAUCCAGUGUCUACUCACUCUCUUUCUUAGCAGGGGGGAAUAAUGGUACUGAUGGGAAUAAGAGCUCCCUUCCCUUCUCACUGAGCAUAAAUAUCCUUUUUUAUUUGUUUGCAUCAAACUUUUCAAAGCAUCACAGCAUGGAAAUGCCGGUGGACAGCUACUACUGUAAUUAACUGAUGUUCAUUAUUUCUGCAGUCUCAAAUGGUAAUACAUAUAUUUCUGAAAGAAAAUUCUAAAUGGAUUUGGAAUUGUGAAGCUGUUGGUAAUUAUAGUCUGGUAAAGCCCGCAACAGUGACUUCCAACAUGUGCAAAUAGUGCGGGAUGGAAGCAGAACAUGGAUCCAGCAUGAAUUCUAUCACAAGACCUCAAGACGUCAGUGUCUGUUUUGCUGCUGGGACAGAAGGAUGUCACAAGCAGAGAGCUCAAAGUCCACCUGCAGACUGACACAGACGCCCUUUGACUUUCUAUUGACUGAAGGAAGGACUGAACUUCUUGAUGACACCUAAGAGAGGGUUAAAAAGGGGUGAUUAAGAAGAUCACAACUAGAGGACAUCUGCACUUUUGUGAGCUUUGGUGUUUUUAGUAAUAAUGGUUCAUCCUGUGAUCUACAAAACAAACUGGUCUGGAGUUAGGAAGGUGACAUUAUCCCCAGCAGAGCCCUGAGCCAGUGACUCAUCAUGGAACAGCUGAGCAGUUCCCACACCCAUCUUUGACCAACAGAGUUUUAUCCAGACAUCUAAAUUGCAAACUACAUUGCUCUGAACUUCUGCCUGUCAGAGAAAAAAAAAAAAAAAAAAAAAAAAAGAAGAAGAAAACAGAUUUGUGCUGAUCUUGCAUGAGUCUUUGCUAGAUUUCCUGUACAGACUCACAAAGAGGAAACAAAAUUGGAGAGUGAAGUGAAAAAGAAAAACUUGCAGCCCUCUAAAAUUCAUGGCCAAAAAGCUGAAGAAUGUUCUCUCCUCUACUGCUACCAGGCAUUCAGAAAGAGAGGCAAACCAGAAAGCUGAAUGCCUGAGUGAUCCCAUGACUACAAUAAUAGUAAUAAUUAACAAUAAGUAAUUGCCAGUUGUAUUGCCCUUCUCAUUGCAGAGUUCAUGAUGUCUUGCUUGUAAAUGUUUUGAGUUAAUGAUAAGAUUUCUGUUGACUGUUUAACACAGACAUGUGCUCGAGUUAAGAGAAGAGAGUUACAGAAUUUAUAACUAAAAGAUCCUGCGGGAUUUCAGACAUCUGAUUCCCCAGAAAUCUCAUGUAGGGAUUCAAUCUCCAUCUUUCAGGCAAAUCAUUGAUCUCUUGGCAGCUUGGGCACCUGCCUCAGGCAUGAUGUGUGGAUCAUGCAUGAGGAGAGGCUGGGUGCUCUUUCAGCAGUGCAUGCGCUUUGGUGUAGGCUUCACCUGUGUGUCUGCAAAGGGAGUAGUUAAACUGCUGUAAUCAACACAGUUACAGCAUGCUAUGUACUGCACAUGGUCUUACAUGCAUGGAUGAAAGGCUGUGACAGGAAAAAACAGUUACUGAAGGAGGAAAUGUCCCCUAAAUACUGAGAAGAAUUAUAUCCAGGUUGUCUGCUUUCUCACUUUAUGGUGAUCUCAGUGUUACCUGUCUUACAUGUGGGAUGUUUCCCCCGUUGUCUCCAGAUUUUGAAGUGUAUUUUCAUCUAUGAUUAACAUUUUAUGAACAUAUCAGUCAGAUGUCAUUUCUUUUCAGCAAUAAUAUAAUCCAUAAGUGCACACUUUUAUAGGAACAUCACAAGGUCUUAAAGUAGGAGUAAUCUCUAAUUGUAUGGAACAGCAGAACUUACAGGGAAAUAGGUAAAAAGCUCCCACCAUUUUAGCUUCUAUCCUUUCCAGACUGUAGAUUUCCAUGAAUUAUGAAAAAGACUAGAAAAAUCAUCAGGUUUCAUGUUCUGAUGCAUGAGGUUCAUUGUGGCUUAUUAAAAGAAAAAAAAAAUUGCAUAUCAAAUUAUAGAAGCUUUCCUUGUGAAAAUCUUUAUAUCUAAAGAUGUAAUAAAUAUGCAGUGUAUAACAAA